CAAUAGCGUAUAUUAAAGCUGUUGCGGUUAAAAAGCUCGUAGUUGGAUUUCUGUCAAGGACAACUGGUCCGCCCCUCGGGUGAGCACAUAGUUUGGUCUUGGCAUCUUGUUGGAAACUGUUGCUGCACUUGGUUGUGUGGCGCAGUGUCCAGCACUUUCACUUUGAGGAAAUUGGAGUGUUUCAAGCAGGCACAUGCCUUUGGACACAGUAGCAUGGAAUAAUUAGAUUGGGCGUUUGCUCCAACUUGUCGGUUUCUGGAGCUGAGGUGAGAAUUAAUGGGGAUUGUUGGGGGCAUCCGAAUUUAGCCGUCAGAGGUGAAAUUCUUGGAUCUGCUAAAGACGGACAACUGCGAAAGCGUUUGCCCAGGAUGUUUUCAUUGA
rnacentral:rRNA from 1 species